CCUGUCCUCUCCCUUUCCCUCCGUGUGGUACGAUAUGAGAUGAGUCUUGGCAUCGAAGGGCAGCUCAGUGAAGCCUGUGGCUCCAGCGCAGGAAUUCAACCCCCCACCCCCUUUGUCAGUUUGUCUCUCUGUUCAUUCUGUCUGAGGCCUUUCUUUUAGUAAGUAAUGAACUGAUAAUUUCCUCAGAUGGAGAAACAUCAGCAUGAUGAAGAUGACACUGUAACUUACUUGUCAGACACGGAGACAUUUUUUUCAACAAUGACAGCAUAAUUUGUGUCUCACACAGACACAGACACACCAACAUGAGGUGAUGUUUACUCACACAGUAG